AGUGAACGCUGGCGGUAGGCCUAGCACAUGCAAGUCGAACGGCAGCACAGUAAGAGCUUGCUCUUACGGGUGGCGAGUGGCGGACGGGUGAGGAAUACAUCGGAAUCUACUUUUUCGUGGGGGAUAACGUAGGGAAACUUACGCUAAUACCGCAUACGACCUACGGGUGAAAGCAGGGGAUCUUCGGACCUUGCGCGAUUGAAUGAGCCGAUGUCGGAUUAGCUAGUUGGCGGGGUAAAGGCCCACCAAGGCGACGAUCCGUAGCUGGUCUGAGAGGAUGAUCAGCCACACUGGAACUGAGACACGGUCCAGACUCCUACGGGAGGCAGCAGUGGGGAAUAUUGGACAAUGGGCGCAAGCCUGAUCCAGCCAUACCGCGUGGGUGAAGAAGGCCUUCGGGUUGUAAAGCCCUUUUGUUGGGAAGGAAAAGCAGCAGGUUAAUACCCCGCUGUUCUGACGGUACCCAAAGAAUAAGCACCGGCUAACUUCGUG
rnacentral:rRNA from 1 species